GACGAACGCUGGCGGCGUGCUUAACACAUGCAAGUCGAACGGUGAAGGACGGAGCUUGCUCUGUCUGGAUCAGUGGCGAACGGGUGAGUAACACGUGAGUAACCUGCCCCAGACUCUGGAAUAAGCGCUGGAAACGGCGUCUAAUACCGGAUACGAGACGGAGAGGCAUCUCUACCGUCUGGAAAGUUUUUCGGUCUGGGAUGGACUCGCGGCCUAUCAGCUUGUUGGUGAGGUCAUGGCUCACCAAGGCAACGACGGGUAGCCGGCCUGAGAGGGCGACCGGCCACACUGGGACUGAGACACGGCCCAGACUCCUACGGGAGGCAGCAGUGGGGAAUAUUGCACAAUGGGCGAAAGCCUGAUGCAGCGACGCCGCGUGAGGGAUGACGGCCUUCGGGUUGUAAACCUCUUUCGGCAGGGAAGAAGCGAAAGUGACGGUACCUGCAGAAGAAGCACCGGCUAACUACGUGCCAGCCGCCGCCGUAACAC
rnacentral:rRNA from 1 species